GACACAAAGUGAUUCCAUCACCCACCGGAAGUUGACAAAUCUCGACUCUUGUAUCAGCAGCCAAAGCUUUGUUAAGCUCUAGUACGAAAUCUCUGUAAUACCUUACAUACUUUCUAAGUGGUGCAUCUGGUGGUGCCACCAAAGACCCGUUCCAAAGGGUGUUAUCGUACCCAAUCACUCCCCCAAUCUUGACAAGAUCAAUUAACCUUUUGUGGUAGUUAAGAUAGUUAUCUUUGUCAGCAUCCACAAAUAUAAAGUCAAAUGAUCCAUGGAAAUUUACAUCAUCCACCAUUUGGUCAAGAAGAGGAAGUGCAGGGCCUUCUCUAAAAUCAAUCUUGUGAGCAACACCGGCUUUCUCAAUAAUCGGAAGGCCAAUUUCGUAAUUUUCACGGUUUAUGUCCAAUGCCAAAAUCUUACCAUCCUCCGGGAGAGCAAGGGCAGUGGAAAGAAGAGAGUAACCCGUGUAAACACCGAUCUCCAUCGUGUUCUUAGCGUUAAUGAGUUUGAGUAGUAGAUUUAAAAACUGUCCUUCAUCCGCCGAUUUACGUACCAAGGGUGUUUGGCAGUGACCUCACGUAGCUCCUUCAUGGGUUGUGGCUCUCUUGGGUAGACACUGGUUUCAAGAAUGUAUUGGUAAAGUGCAUCGCUUUGAAGGAGACUCUUGUGGCCAACUUCUUGGUGUUUUGCAGGUUGAGUUUCUCCGAUGGCAGCCAUUGAAAUGAUUAUAUGUGUUUGUGUGUGUGAAAAGUGAAAUGAGGUAGGAUU
rnacentral:lncRNA from 1 species